UACGGAAGGGGGCUAGCGUUGUUCGGAAUUACUGGGCGUAAAGCGUGCGCAGGCGGCUUCUCAAGUCAGGGGUGAAAGCCCAGAGCUCAACUCUGGAAUUGCCUUUGAGACUGAGUGGCUUGAGUACGAGAGAGGUGAGUGGAAUUCCCAGUGUAGAGGUGAAAUUCGUAGAUAUUGGGAAGAACACCGGUGGCGAAGGCGGCUCACUGGCUCGUAACUGACGCUCAUGCACGACAGCGUGGGGGAUCAAACAGG
rnacentral:rRNA from 1 species